rnacentral:rRNA from 1 species
GAAUCCGCYAAGGAGUGUGUAACAACUCACCUGCCGAAUGGACUAGCCCUGAAAAUGGAUGGCGCUGAAGCGGGCGACCGACACCAUGCCGUUUGAGCAAGAAAAAGCUCAGAUGAGUAGGAGGGCGUGGGGAUUGUGUCGAAGCAUGCGUGCAAACGUGUGUGGAACGGUCUCUAGUGCAGAUCUUGGUGGUAGUAGCAAGUAUUCAAGUGAGAUCCUUGAAGGGCGAAGCGGGGAAGGGUUCCACGCGAACAUUGAUUGGGCGUGGGUGAGUCGUUCCUAAGCCGAGUGGCAAUUGCUAAGUAGCGGCGAAAGGGAAGCGGGUUGACAUUCCCGCACACGGAUGUGGAGGCGGUGACGCAUUACUGGGACGGAGACGCUGGCGACGGCGCUGGGCAGAGUUGUCUUUUCUGUUUGACCGUGCGAAAAAGCUGUGUGGAAUCCGCUUGUCGGGAGMAACACGCUUAUUCGGGCAGAGCGCCGGGACUUUUCCGGCGUCCAGCUCGCCGUCGACGGCCCUUGAAAAUCUGUCUGCUGAUUUAAUCCACGCCGUGGCGUACCGAUCACCGCAUCAGGUCCCCAAGGUGAACAGCCUCUGCUCAAUAUGAAAAAUGCAGGUAAGGGAAGUCGGCAAA